rnacentral:sRNA from 1 species
AUUUCUACCAAAGGAAGUGUGCUUGACCAGGGAGUUCAUCCAAGGGCACCUGGAAACUGUCCUCAAGGCAUUUCCCGGGGAACCGAUUUCUCACGGGUUGCCUCGGGGUAGGGCAGCGGAGGCCAACAGCCCGUGUCUUUUUCCGCAGUGGUCCUUUGCUGUUGCUACCAUCACAGAAAUCCCCCCCGUUAUCUUCCUCCCCAACUUCCUUGUGCAGAGGAAGGUGCUGAGGCCCCUUCGGACCCAGACAGGAGGAACCAUAAUGGCGGGGAAGCUGGCCGUGGAGCGAGGCUGGGCCAUCAACGUGGGGGGUGGCUUCCACCACUGCUCCAGCGACCGUGGCGGGGGCUUCUGUGCCUAUGCGGACAUCACGCUCGCCAUCCAGUUUCUGUUUGAGCGUGUGGAGGGCAUCUCCAGGGCUACCAUCAUUGAUCUUGAUGCCCAUCAGGGCAAUGGGCAUGAGCGAGACUUCAUGGACGACAAGCGUGUGUACAUCAUGGAUGUCUACAACCGCCACAUCUACCCCGGGGACCGCUUUGCCAAGCAGGCCAUCAGGCGGAAGGUG